rnacentral:lncRNA from 1 species
ACACAUCUAGAGUUAAAAGCAAUUUUUUUAAAAAAUUCUGGUAAUUCUCAUGCAUAGAGAUCACCUUAGAAUUCACAAUUUUUAAAAUUCUGUCUAAAACUGAUAAAAUUUUAUCCUCAAGGAACUGAAGUAUAAAAUAAAAUUGAUACAAAAUUAUAGCUGGGUGUGGUGGCAUUACUAUUCAGACAGCUCUAGAGUGUCUGAAAUCCUGUAAUCCCAGCAACUCCAGAGGCUGAAGCAGGAGGAUUUCAAAUUCAAAGCCAGCCUCAGCAACUUAAUGAGGCCCUAAGUAACUCUGUGAGACCCUGUCUCUAAAUAUAAUAUAAAAAAAGGACUGGAGAUGUUGCUCAGUGGUUAAUACCCUUGGGUUCAAUCCCUGGUACAAAAAAAAAGUUUUAAAAAUUAUCAAAAUGUAAAAGUGCAUUUAAUCUGUACUUCUCUUACUUCAUCUCAAGGAAAAGAUAAAACCUUCUAGCCAACUCUUCCAGUUACUAUUUCUUAUAUAAUAUAGAAGGUUUUCUUAUUGGAGUGAAAAUUUAAACUCUUCAUGCAUAGAUGGAACAAGAACACUACUAGCCAUAUCCACAAGAGGCACAGAUUUAAUGAACUUGUCAGUAUCUCUGGUCUUUGAAUUGUGUCUGUUUUCAAGUCCAGAUUAUAGGAUUGGGUUAAAAUCCUCAGAAUAUGUCACACAUUGAUAAGUUAUUUGAAAGAUGUUCUUAGUUUUCAAAAAAGAAGAACUUUACAUUUCUACUGUGGAAACUAAAGGCUUGUAUGAGUUAUUU